rnacentral:rRNA from 1 species
GUCCAUUUGGUGGUAUAAAUGGUCUGGCCUGCUCACUGAUAAUUUUAUUGAAGAGCCGCGGUAUUUUGACCGUGCAAAGGUAGCAUAAUCAUUAGGGGUUUAAUUGGAACCUGGUAUGAAAGGUUGAACAAAGAAAAAACUGUCUUUAUAUUAUAAAUUGAAAUUUACUUUUAAGUGAAAGGGCUUAAAUAAAUCAAAGGGACGAUAAGACCCUAUAAAGCUUUAUAAGUCGGUUAUAUUUAUUUGAUGUAAAAAAUAAAGAUUAAAUUUAAUUUUCUUAUUUUAUUGGGGUGAUAUGAGUAUAAAUUUUGUUAACUGCUUAUAAAAAAUACAAGUUUGUGUGGUUAAAUAAUAAAUGAUCCUUUUUAAAGAUUAAAAGACUAAGUUACUUUAGGGAUAACAGCGUUAUUUCUUUUGAGAGUUCAUAUCGAAAAAGAAGAUUGCGACCUCGAUGUUGAAUUAAAAUGUCUAUAUAAUGCAGCCGUUAUAAAAGAGGGUCUGUUCGACCUUUAAAUUUUU